rnacentral:rRNA from 1 species
AGAGUUGAUUAUGGCGUCAGGAUGAACGCUAGCGACAGGCUUAACACAUGCAAGUCGAGGGGCAGCAUAAAAGUAGCAAUACUUGGUGGCGACCGGCGCACGGGUGAGUAACGCGUAUGCAACCUACCUAUCAGAGGGGAAUAACCCGGCGAAAGUCGGACUAAUACCGCAUAAAACAGGGGCACCGCAUGGUGAUAUUUGUUAAAGAAAUUCGCUGAUAGAUGGGCAUGCGUUCCAUUAGGUAGUUGGUGAGGUAACGGCUCACCAAGCCGACGAUGGAUAGGGGAACUGAGAGGUUGGUCCCCCACACUGGUACUGAGACACGGACCAGACUCCUACGGGAGGCAGCAGUGAGGAAUAUUGGUCAAUGGGCGGGAGCCUGAACCAGCCAAGUCGCGUGAAGGGAAAAGAAGGAUCUAUGGUUCGUAAACUUCUUUUGCAGGGGAAUAAAGUGCAGGACGUGUCCUGUUUUGUAUGUACCCUGAGAAUAAGGAUCGGCUAACUCCGUGCCAGCAGCAGC